GAUGAACGCUAGCGGCAGGCUUAAUACACGCAAGUCGAGGGACAGCACAGGUAGCAAUACUGGGUGGUAACCGGCAGACGGGUGCGGAACACGUACACAACCUUCCUUUAAGUGGGGGAUAGCCCAGAGAAAUUUGGAUUAAUCCCCCGUAAUAUGGUUGAAUGGCAUCAUUUGAUUAUUAUAGCUACGGCGCUUAAUGAUGGGUGUGCGGCUGAUUAGAUAGUUGGCGGGGUAACGGCCCACCAAGUCUACGAUCAGUAGCUGAUGUGAGAGAAUGAUCAGCCAAACGGGAACUGAGACACGGGCCCGACUCCUACGGGAGGCAGCAGUAAGGAAUAUUGGUCAAUGGACGCAAGUCUGAACCAGCCAUGCCGCGUGAAGGAUUAAGGUCCUCUGGAUUGUAAACUUCUUUUAUUUGGGACGAAAAAGGGCCUUUCUAGGUCAACUGACGGUACCAGAUGAAUAAGCACCGGCUAACUCCGUGCCAGCAGCCGCGGUAACAC
rnacentral:rRNA from 1 species